rnacentral:lncRNA from 1 species
CGAAAGUCACACCCACCUUAGCCUCAGGAUGCUGGGAUGCAGCUUCCAGGUCAGCUGCGGGACACAGGUACUAGGGUCCAUGAAAUACAGCGUUGUUCUCGUUUGGCAAGUGAGCUCUGAGAUCUUGUGAGACUCUUAAGGAUCACAAAACAGGAAGUGGCAGGGCUGGGAUUCCAGUCCCCACACCUAGCCUGGGCCUGCCUGCCCUACUUCUCAGGAAGCUCAACACUGCCUGAGUCUUCUUUCUGGAGACUCACCUGGAACCCCACACCUGUGUAGAAGGUUCCGGGCCACAGUCCCGAGGAGACAGAUGUCCUCCAAGGCUCAUGCGCUCGCUGCCCAUCUGCACUGGGGCGUCAUGCUUUGGACAGAGACUUUAGGCCACCCCUUUCUGGGACCUUGGGCCACUCCCUUCUCAGGCAGCACCCCAGCCCGGUUUCCAGGCUCACUGCCCAUUGUGCCCUGUGAACC